GCCUGCAGGCGUUUUGUCCGUUCGUCACCGACGACGACGGCGACGAAAUCACGGGGCUUGUCGUCUACACGGACCAGCACUACCGGGGUUGUUACAGCAAGCAGUUCAUGAUGGUGCAAGAUUGCAGCAAGAAAGCUAAACGGUCAGCUUGAGACGAAAACGGGAGAGGAUUCGUUUUAAUCCAAAUGGACGAGCAGGUCGGUCGCUACUGUCGAUCGAUUUGUCACGAUUCACGAACCAUGGAAGGAUAGGAGUGGAUAGCAGUGGUACUUCUUUGUACUCGAUGAACAUCAACAUAGGUAAAAUGUGAAGUAGCUUCAGCAACAUAAUGUACUUGUUGUCACUUCGUGUCUGCGCCACGGGCAGAGGCCGGAGGUGGCGGCGAGCUGAAGGAGAGGCAGGGAAGAGGAGGGAGCAGCACGACCUGUGGUUGGUUGGCGGGCUAGGGCUCGGGCCCGCCCGCCCGCGACGGCGCGCGGCAGGUGGGGCAGG
rnacentral:lncRNA from 1 species